GCAUGCGUGGGGGCAAGACUGGAUGCGUAAAGUGAGCACUCUUUUCUACUCCUUGCAGGCUUCCUUGCUGUAUCCCACUGCAAAGGAUAAGAAGAAGGAAUCACUGGGACUGUCUUUGAUCCCCCAGAUACGCAGGGCAGUAAGUCCAGAUGUUGGCAGUGCUGCAGGAUCUCUGAAAAGCUCUCUGCAGCUGGAUGUCCAAGAGUCCCAGGAGAUGAGGCCAAGAUCACCAGCAGAUCCAAAGAGGAGAACUCUUAACAAGCAGCUUCUUCUAGAGACACAAUGUCAAGGAAGAAGUGGGUGGACACCUCCCAUAAAGAGCAGCCCUUUGCAGCCUCUCCAUCCAGGUGGCCUCCCUCCCCUGCCUGGCUGGAAGGCUGAUGCUCAGACCUCCCACCCUCUGGGCCUCACCUUAGCCCCACCUGGCAUGCCCAGCUGCUUCUGCUAGUAUUUAAGGAGCUCUUAAUAAUACUGUGCUACUUAAACGCACAUUGGGAUGUAGCU